rnacentral:rRNA from 1 species
AGCUCCAUUAGUGUAUAUUAAAGUUGUUGCAGUUAAAAAGCUCGUAGUCGGAUUUCGGGUCGGGCCGAGCGGUCUGCCGAUGGGUAUGCACUGUUCGGCGCGGCCUUCUUUCCGGAGACCGCGGCUACUCUUAACUGAGCGGGCGUGGGAGACGGAUCGUUUACUUUGAAAAAUCAGAGUGUUUCAAGCAGGCAGCUCGCUCUUGCAUGGAUUAGCAUGGGAUAAUGAAAUAGGACUCUGGUGCUAUUUUGUUGGUUUCGAACACCGAAGUAAUG